AACCAGGUGAAUGAUCAUGCCAGAUUAACCAGGUGAAUGAUGCAGGACAGAUUAACCAUAUGAAUGAUGCAUGUCAGAUUAACCAGAUCAAUUUUCAUGCCAGAUUAACCAGGUGAAUGAUGCAUGCCAGAUUAACCAGGUGAAUGAUGCAUGCCAGAUUAACCAGAUGAAUGAUGCAUGCCAGAUUAACCGGGUGAAUUAUGCAGGCCAGAUUAACCAGACGAAUGAUACAUGCCAGAUUAACCAUAUGAAUAAUGCAUGCCAGAUUAACCAGAUGAAUGAUCUUGCCAGAUUAACCAGGUGAAUAAUGCAGGCCAGAUAAACCAGUUGAAUGAUGCAUGUCAGAUUAACCAGAUUAAUGAUGCAUGAGAGAUUAACCAGAUGAAUGAUGCAUGCCAUAUUAACCAGAUGAAUGAUGCAUGCAAGAUUAACCAGAUAUAUGAUGCAUGACAGAAAUAGUAGAGGGGAAAACAAAACAAAAGAAAAUUAAACAAAAGAAAAAAAAAGGCAAACGAAACGAAACAAAGCGAAAUGAACAUGUUUAAUUACCAAUCAAGCUAAAAAAUAAAAUAAAGGCAAACGGGCAUCAAAGCGGAG
rnacentral:lncRNA from 1 species